GUCUUGAUGAAUUUAAUUUAUUUUAAGUCUGGCCUGCUCAAUGAUUAAUUUAUUAAAUAGCCGCAGUAUUUUGACUGUGCGAAGGUAGCAUAAUCAUUUGUCUUUUAAUUGAAGGCUUGUAUGAAUGGUUUGAUGAAAAAAUAACUUUCUUUAUAUUAAAAAUUGAAUUUAAUUUUUUAGUUAAAAAGCUUAAAUUUUAAAAUGGGACGAGAAGACCCUAUAGAAUUUUAUUCUAUAUUUAUUGAAUUAGUAUUUUGGAUUUUAAUAAAGAUUGGUGAAUAUAGAAUUUUGUUGGGGUGACAAUGAGAUUAUAAAAACUCUCAUAAUUUAUAAUUUAUUAAUAAAUAUAUAAAAGAUCCUUUUUUUGGAUAAUUAGAUUAAAUUACCUUAGGGAUAACAGCGUAAUUUUUCUGGAGAGUUCAUAUCGAUGGAAAAGUUUGCGACCUCGAUGUUGGAUUAAAAUUAGAUUUAAGUGCAGCAGCUUAAUUUCUAGGUCUGUUCGACCUUUAAAAUUUUACA
rnacentral:rRNA from 1 species